rnacentral:rRNA from 1 species
GGACGGUACUCCAGGAAUAAGGAUCGGCUAACUACGUGCCAGCAGCCGCGGUAACACGUAGGAUCCGAGCGUUAUCCGAAUUUACUGGGCGUAAAGCGCGUGCAGGCGGCUGGGUAAGUUGGGCGUGAAAUCUCCCGGCUCAACUGGGAGAGGUCGUCCAAAACUACCUGGCUAGAGGGCAGUAGAGGGAGGUGGAAUUCCCGGUGUAGUGGUGAAAUGCGUAGAUAUCGGGAGGAACACCAGUGGCGAAAGCGGCCUCCUGGACUGUACCUGACGCUCAGACGCGAAAGCUAGGGGAGCGAACGGGAUUAGAUACCCCGGUAGUCCUAGCUGUAAACGAUGUGAACUAGGCGUGGGUGGGGUAAAAGCCAUCCGUGCCGCAGCCAACGCGCUAAGUUCACCGCCUGGGGACUACGGCCGCAAGGUUAAAACUCAAAGGAAUUGGCGGGGGCCCGCACAAGCAGCGGAGCGUGUGGUUUAAUUCGAUGCUACGCGAAGAACCUUACCCGGUCUGACAUGCAGGUAGUAGGGAAGCGAAAGUGGACCGACCCUUCGGGGAGCCUGCACAGGUGCUGCAUGGCUGUCGUCAGCUCGUGUCGUGAGAUGUCCGGUUAAGUCCGGUAACGAGCGCAACCCUUGCUGGAUGUUACACGUUUCAUUCAGGACUGCCGGCUUAUAGCCGGAGGAAGGCGGGGAUGACGUCAAGUCAGCAUGGCCUUUAUGACCGGGGCUACACACACGCUACAAUGGCCGGUACAAUGGGUUGCAAAGCCGCGAGGUAGAGCCAAUCCCCAAAGCCGGUCUCAGUUCGGAUUGCAGGCUGCAACCCGCCUGCAUGAAGUCGGAGUUGCUAGUAACCGCGCGUCAGCACUAGUGCGGUGAAUACGUUCCCGGGCCUUGCACACACCGCCCGUCACGUCAUGGGAGCUGGUAACACCUGAAGCCGGUAGCCGAACCGCAAGGUAGGCGCCGUCGAAGGUGGGGCCGGUGACUGGGACGA